UCACGCAACGCAGCUGCAAGUGUGGCUUUGGUGUUCGAGGAGCGUUUUGUCUCCUGAUCCAUCUGAAUUUCUGUCAAACUAAUUAGCUUUGCUUUAAAACCAUUAUUCGGGGAGUUCACGGGUAGUACUAGUUUGUGGAAGAUGAUGGUUAAAUUAGUUCACGUACAAGCUUCACGGUGUAAUUGAGCAGUGCUGUGGCGAUGGGGAAAAAGGGGGAAGCCUUCGUCGUGGAGUACAACUGCUUUGUUGUAGUUUAGACUCCAGGCUAUGCUGAUUGGUAAGAAUACAUCCUCCUCAGUAAUCAGAAUCUACUUUAGAAAAGUCUUAGGCCUCUGUAUCCUGGAGUAAAGACACACCCAUUUGCCUAUUACAUUCCUUUCCAGACGACAUGCCUAUUCAAGGAUCCACCAUUUCCGUUAGUGAGUAGAAGGAACAUUCACGAUCAGCAGUCUGUUUUCAUCAUGUGUUUUCUUUUUGCCUGGAAAGUCAUCCUUGAUACUGACUUUUAACUUUUGUGGGAGAACGAGCAGAGAUGAGAGGCAAAUUGUUGUCUAAAAACAAUAAUUUAAGAUGUGGUCCUGCCAUUGAGCUGAUAGGUGACAGCAAAAACAGUGAAGUAAAAAGAAAUACUUCUCUUCCAUGUCCCUUUUUGUUUAGCUGCACAGGGAAAAGCCAGACAGUGGGUGCCCGUAUGCAGACCAAGGAGAGCCUUUAUUCUUUAUGUGGACAGAAACAGGCAAACAUCUCCAUCCAUUAGCUGAGACACCGUGAAGCAAAGUUGUCUCAGAAAAAAAAACCAUAUUUUCUAUUCUUGAUACCUGGGAAGAGUAGAAGACAUAGCAUUGCUUUCCUUCUUGUUUUGGUUUUAAGAUUUUCAGGAGGAAAAUCUGAAGUACUGGACCUGGUGCAGCAAGGUAUUAAAAGGUACGAUUACAGAACUUAAAAAGGAUGAAAAAGAAAACUUUGUAUGGUAAAAACAACCCACAUAGAAGUACUCAAAAUUGAUGCAUCCUUUUCAGGAUAUUUGUUGACUGAUUUAUAAAAGGCAUGUAUCUUGUUUUCUUGUUAAUUCUUAAUUGCAUCUACUGUAUACUAGAGUUCUUUGAGGUGUUUUAAAACACAUCCCUAAAUUAGCCAGGGUUAGGAGGAAAUUCCUUCAAUAUUCAGGUCGCACGAAGAAGCCAAGAUCACUGAAGAAACUCUUUUUUAGAAAGUGCCACAACCUCCAGUUACAAAGUCGAGACCAAUGAUGCAGUCUUACCUUUUUGAUGUAACAGAGCUUCUGGGAAGCUCCCCGGCUAGCUGUGCGGGGGCUCCAGCGCGAGGUUCCCCAAGCACCCCCUUGGGUCAGAUGUGCUUAGGGCCGCCCAGGUGGGUGCUGCUGCCCGGGCUCAGCUGGCAGGAGGGAACCUGCAGGGCCCGGCCCGGCCGAGGCGGGUGCCCCGCGCUCACGCCCCCGCCGCGGAGCCGUAACCGCCUCUCAGCAAAGCCCAAAACCGCGGUCCCGGCAAGAACCGGGAAGUGCUGCGCAACCUGUGAAUUCCUCGAUCCAGGCAGCACAGGAUGCAUUUGGAUGUAGAAAGGCAUAAACAGCGGUGAUUUUAAAUUAUUAACCAAGUCCUGAAAUUCAGAGCAAAAAUGUUUGCAGCAGGUUUUGUCUCGGUAAUAGUGCAAGUCCCGAGGGAUUUCUUUGAAAUCGGCCCUUAGGUUUGUCCUCAACAGAAGCCCUAAGUAACAGGACAGAAUUUUUCCUGUUAUCUUACGGCAGAUCUAUGAACGUGGAAUGCUUGAAAGGCCUGGUACAGAAGCUUCCUGACUUCCGCAGUUCUGAUAUUUUAAGUAUCCGUUAGGAGCACUAGAAAUACUACUUCGGAUGUUCACGCAGACCCAAGCACCAUAUGGAGCAAAUAGAUUCCAUAAAGCAAUAUUCAGUUUUAAUCUAUUUACAUAAGUUUUCCUUUGGCCAAAAAACCCCAACACUUUCACAGAGCAAUAGAUAGGGAAAUAAGAUCAGUAGAAGGUUCUUACAUAUUCAGUGAUGGGAAGAAAAAUUAUUUAAAUGUGUUUUGCACCGUAUUUGGUCGCUAUGGCUUGUAUCUUAGCCUGAAUAUUAUCUACAUUUUGUGAUAAUCAGGAUGCAACUAUUUUGAAUGGUGUUCCUCUUACAAAGUUCACUGAUAGAUGGACUGAAGGAUUGCCUGUCCUUACGUAUUUAGACUAAGUUGUCAUAAAGAAUCUAGAAUAAGCAAGUCAUAAAGCUGAUGAUCAUGGUAAUUCAUAAAAAGUAUUCUAAAAUUCUAUUACACAGUCACAGUAAAAACUGUACUUUUAUGCAUCUAAAAGCGGUCUGCUCACUACUGCAUCUUUGGUAGAACUACGUUUAAAACCUGGCACACUUCAAAUAAACCAAAACCCAGAACCCUAAAUGAAAUAAACGUUACAAAUAAUCUUAUGGGUGAGUAAAAUUUCAGAUUUCAAGAUAUAACUGCAGUAAUCAAACUGCCACAGCUUACACUUAUCUUGAAAAUAAAAUCAGCAAGAGUAUUUAGAAAGAUUGUGCUGUAAUAUACCUGACCCUGACCACAAAGCUAAGCACAGAGUGACGGGAGACUUCCUUCCCUUUAUUUAGAUAAGAAAGAAACAACAGAGCUUUACUGAUGGAGUUGUGCCAGGGUAAUCCUAAUCUUGGACUUCCUUCCCUACACACUAGCUAUUGUUAUUAUUACAAAGUCACAGCAUAGGAAACAGGCAUUCUUACAAAAACUGGAACUGAAACAAAAUCACCAUUCAUACCUCAGAAUCUAUACAUGGACACAUUUCAUAAACAGCACUAAAUUCAAAACCGGUCUCAUACAUUUAAUGUUAUAUUCAAAAUAAAAUGUUAAGACAAAAUCUUAGCUCAGUAGGUUUUCUGUUAAAUGAGAACUGUAAGCCUAAUCCAAAGUUCAGUUAAUUUAAAUAGAUAUAAACAAAACCACUAACUCCAUAGUUGUUUAAAUUAAAACGGUUUUCCCCGUAUGAUUCAAGGAACAUCUAAUUAAUUAGCCAGGUAAAAGGUAAAAAAGUAUUUAGCCGAGUACUUUAAAAACUUGCAAGAAAGCAUGGCAGGGACACAGCAAAAGUGCAAGAAAACAGAGCCUGUAGGACAGUCUAAAUACGCUUCAGAGAUGGGGAAUUGAUUAAAACUUUGAUCAGAAACAAUAGAUUUUACAAAAUGGACAGUGAUCGUACAGAGGUCACUCAAACAUUAAAAAAAGAGGAAGAAAAGUGCUGCUUCUUGAGUUUGCUCAAUGCUUGAAAAAAUAUAAACAUUUUACAACAUCAAACAUGUCAUCGCGAGUUUUAAGAACUGGGUUAUAUUAUGUUCUUUGCUAAGUGGCUUAUCAAUUUCAUUAGCAGAAUCAAGAAACAGUAUUUUAUAGUGGUUGAGAACUGGAAGCUUGUUUCCAGUUUAAAAUUGAUCCCAAAUUUGAAAAAUAUAAAGUGAAAUACAUUCCAAGCUAGGUCUGGAGACAAUGAAGAAUUCUUAUCAAAAGACAAACACUGAAAAUGAUUGUAUAGUGAAACUCCUUUGUAAAUACCAAACUUUCUGCCCUCUGCUGUUUGGACCAGGAAAAAAUAAAUUGGGAUACAAGUAGCUAAGGGCUGAUCCUAACUCCGCUUUUAGGAAAAUAAUUUAAUUUAUGAUUAAACUAGUUAGACUUUUAGUUGCUCUAUGCACUUGAACUCUGCACUGGUAUGAAGUUCGCCUGAAUAUGGUGGUCUAUCAAAAACGUGCCAGGAAGCCAUUCAAAAGUUGCUUCAUAAAACCAAAAGUUACUUGAGAUACACAGGAGAGGCAGUUCUGCAGAACAAAAUGAAAUUUUCAGUAAAACAAAACAUGCAGAAGUUCUACACUGAGGGUAACAGAUUAUGUUCCAUAACAGAUUUCUAAAGAUGAAAUAGUAACACACUGAGCUUCCUCACAGAUUAUUCAGAACUUAACUGAUGUUUGCAAAUUGCUUAAAGAUUAAAAUGCUGCACUGCCUACAAAUCGAAUUUGAUUAGUCACUUUUUUCCCAAAGUUACUUAACUUUUUAAGAGGUAAGUUGAAAGUCACUUUUUUUCUGUUAGAAAAUCAACAAUCAGUUCUUCCAGACUUGCAAAAAAAUAGUAGAGAAAUGGCCUCAAAUGUAACUUUGCUUUUAGUGGCUAGUUACCAGAGCAAAUUUAAAGUCUAUUCAAAAUAAAAUGGUUUAAAAGUAGCGACGUUAUGGGGGGGCUUUUUUAAUAGCUUGUGAAUAAAGCUUUGUACUCUCCCCGUCUUGUUCAAGGGUUUCUAUAAAGCAAUAGCAAAUUCAUGAGAGGAAACAAGUUAUAUUAAAUACAGAUUUAUGUCACCUUGAAUUUUGCUGAGCGUUUACAUUAAACCAGAAGAAUCCAGA